UGAAGACCUUCGGGUCGUAAACUCCUUUACGAUCGAGACGAAUGGCUUCCGGGUUAAUAACCCGGGAGAAUGACGGUACCGAGAGGAAGAACGCCCCGGCUAACUCCGUGC
rnacentral:rRNA from 1 species